GAUGAACGCUGGCGGCGUGCCUAAUACAUGCAAGUCGAGCGAACAGACGAGGAGCUUGCUCCUCUGACGUUAGCGGCGGACGGGUGAGUAACACGUGGAUAACCUACCUAUAAGACUGGGAUAACUUCGGGAAACCGGAGCUAAUACCGGAUAAUAUAUUGAACCGCAUGGUUCAAUAGUGAAAGACGGUUUUGCUGUCACUUAUAGAUGUAUCCGCGCCGCAUUAGCUAGUUGGUAAGGUAACGGCUUACCAAGGCGACGAUGCGUAGCCGACCUGAGAGGGUGAUCGGCCACACUGGAACUGAGACACGGUCCAGACUCCUACGGGAGGCAGCAGUAGGGAAUCUUCCGCAAUGGGCGAAAGCCUGAAGGAGCAACGCCGCGUGAGUGAUGAAGGUCUUCGGAUCGUAAAACUCUGUUAUUAGGGAAGAACAAAUGUGUAAGUAACUAUGCACGUCUUGACGGUACCUAAUCAGAAAGCCACGGCUAACUACGUG
rnacentral:rRNA from 1 species